GACGGGUCCUGCAGGGUCCCCGUGACACAGGGCAAGAACUGGAUAUCUGAGAGGAGUCCCAGUGAAGUUCUAGUAUUGAUGGUGCAGCAGAAGCCAGCGGCCUCCAACCAGACCAACGACUCUCGGCAGUGCACAUUUAUGCGGACAGACAAGAUUCCAUCAACCUGUUCUUGGGUGUUUUCCACCCCACAGAAGGGAAACCUCAUCUCUGGGAACUUCCCACGGACUUUUACCUGCAUCACAAAAACACCAUGAGCCUUUUACCCCCCAAAAGGAGUUAUACUCACUGGUGGACACCAGAGGUGGUGAAGCAUUUGCCGCUGCCUUACGACGAAGUUAUCUGUGCUGCAAACUUAAAGAAGUUGACGGUGAAGAAGUUUCACAGAUGGGAAGAGGAGAUUGAUAUUCACAAUGAGUUCUUCCGGCCGUAUGAAUUGAGUAGUUUUGAUGACACCUUUUGCCUGGCCAUGACAAGUUCAGCACGGACGGCCCCGAGGACAGUGGGGUUAGCUUCUUUUCAGUGUUGUCUGCGAGAAGGAAUUCCCAGGACCUGGAGAUGCAGCUCAGUAGUAAAGGACACGUACUUCCAGAGGCUCGGAACCUGGUCCCCAGCACCCGUAUCACAACCUUCGGUAACUCCAGCUACAAAGAAUCCAAUGUUGUCUUCUGUAUUUUGUACACACCUAUACUCAAGUGGGUGCCUGUGUGUGUACACCCAUGCACAGGCGAACAUGCAUAUGCGUGCACAUGCUUGCACACACACACACACACACACUAAAAAUACUAGAAGUGAAAUCCUUAAUAACCAAUUCAUCCAAAUCAUGGAUCUGAAGCUUUUCACCCCUUUGAACCAUGCAAAUUACUAACUACAGGUAAUAAAGAAGUGUCUGCCUC
rnacentral:lncRNA from 1 species